rnacentral:rRNA from 1 species
UGCGCAGGCGGUCUUGCAAGACAGGUGUGAAAUCCCCGGGCUUAACCUGGGAACUGCACUUGUGACUGCAAGGCUGGAGUACGGCAGAGGGGGAUGGAAUUCCGCGUGUAGCAGUGAAAUGCGUAGAUAUGCGGAGGAACACCGAUGGCGAAGGCAAUCCCCUGGGCCUGUACUGACGCUCAAAUGCGAAAGCGUGGGGAUCAAACAGGAUUAGAUACCCGUGUA